GCCAAGUCUCAGUGAAAAGGGGAAUUAAUUUGACCCAGAAAGGCUUACUCAGAGAGGCAUCCACCAGUCCUACGCUGUUGUCAGACUAACAAAAACAGUGUGGAAGAACAAGAGUUAGGGUAAGAAUGAUCUAAGAGAGGUUUCCUGAAGCCAGCACUAUAUCAGGCUGAAGGCAGUGAGAUUCAUCCAACAAGAGUUCAAGAUUUUGAAAACUGGCACACACAGAAGCCUAAGCAGUGACACAGCAGAAACCACAUGCCUUCUGCCCGCUAGCUGCCUCUGGUGGCCUUGCACCCUCUCUGCUGCUCUCCCUCCUGGAGUUCUUCCUGCAGGGGAACCUAACCAAAUGUGAAAACAGACUUGGAAGGGGCAAGUGAUGCUGAACCUGGCCCAACACUGC
rnacentral:lncRNA from 1 species